rnacentral:lncRNA from 13 species
GGAGGAGUUCAGUAGUUGGAGAAGGACAUUGUAGACAGAGGGAGUUGCAAGUCAGAUGGAACAGUGUGCCAGGGAUGGAAUGGAGGAAGACAGAGCUGGACAGACAGGCCAGGGCUAGACUCUGGAACCACAAGGAGGGGCUUUUUCUAAUACUGAUAGUCUGGAAAUCAACUGGCAUCAUAAUUCUAACAAGGAGGCAAGGUUUCACUCUAUCAACCAGACUGGAGUUCAGAGAUGCCAUCAUAGCUCACUGA